AUUUAGUUUACAGUUUGUAGAUGAGUUUAGACUAUAAUUUUGUUUAUUUUGGUAUUAUAUUCACUGAGCUACAAUCCUUUAAAGUAGAGCUAUCAAAGUUGAAAAAAUUUAGCUUUUUAGCAAAAUUUUAUAAUCUGUGACGUUUUUUAAACACCCAUAACUCAUUCGUUUUAAGUUGGAUUGACCUACGGUUUUUUCCAACAUUUAGUUUACAAUUUGUAGAUGAAUUUAGACUAUAAUUUUGUUUAUUUUGGUAUUAUAUGCAUUGAGUUACAAUCCUUCAAAGUAGAGCUAUCAAAGCUGAAAAAAUUCAGCUUUUCAGCAACAUUUUGUAAGCUGUGACGUUUUUUAAACACCCAUAACUCAUUCGUUUUAAGUCGGAUUGACCUCCGAUUUUUUCCAACAUUUAGUUUACAGUUUGUAGAUGAGUUUAGACUAUAAUUUUGUUUAUUUUGGUAUUAUAUUCACUGAGCUACAAUCCUUUAAAGUAGAGCUAUCAAAGUUGAAAAAAUUCAGCUUUUUAGCAAGAUUUUAUAAUCUGUGACGUUUUUUAAACACCCAUAACUCAUUCGUUUUAAGUCGGAUUGACCUACGGUUUUUUCCAACAUUUAGUUUACAAUUUGUAGAUGAAUUUAGACUAUAAUUUUGUUUAUUUUGGUAUUAUAUUCAUUGAGUUACAAUCCUUCAAAGUAGAGCUAUCAAAGCUGAAAUAUUUCAGCUUUUUAGUAUUAUUUUAUACUAUAAU
rnacentral:lncRNA from 1 species